CCCGGCCUAAUGAUAAUUCUUAAAAAUGCAUUGGUUGCCCUCUUAAUAAUGACUUGUGCUUGCUCCUUUUAUAAUCUACAUUAAUAUAUAUAACUAUGGCAAAAACAGUAUGAUGACUAGUAAUUAUUAUCUAUCUACCUGGGCAUCAUUCGCAAGUGUAGUGUUCAGCCAAAAGUGACCCAGACGAGGUGAAGUAUAAUUUACUUGAGUUAAGAAGGAUAAAAAUUGGAGCAAACUUUCCAGUCAAAGCAGUUCAUUCCCCAACAUAUUAACUUAUUUAAAUUGGAGUAGGCAGAUCUGUUGAAAUGAACUUUGUGCUGUGCAUGUUACAAUGUAUUAAAAGUAUUUCUUCCAAAGAGAACGGAAGAGUGAACACUUAAAAAUUUUAUUUUAAGAAAGAAAUUUGAUUACUCUGUGAUUUUUUUAAACAAUAAAGAGACUUUGCUCUUAAAGUGUUUGAAUCUUAACUAAUUUUAGUAAUUGAACUGAGAUGGGUGAGUUCUUUCUUAGUUGAUACCGUUAUGGAACUAUAUUUGAAAGUUGUUUUUUAAUUAUUACUGUUCUGUGGGAAAGUCAGGAAAAUGGAUGAGCAGAAAUUAUACAGCUAGGACUUUAUGGUGAUGUUCCUUUUCCUCUAGUGACAGGGGUGCAUUCUUAAGUGGGGACUGUUUUUCUCUGGUGCAAAGAUUCCCUUACAUGAAGUAGGCUUCCUGAAGGAUCUUAAACAAAGUAGUCUUUUUGCAAUUAGUUGUUUUCCUUACCAUUGACAGAGAGAUAAUGAUCUGUUGUGAAUCCUGUCACUUUAUGGCUGUCCUCAGAAUUGUAUCAAGAAAGUAUCACAGCAAAAUGAUUUAGACUCAGACAUGACAUCAGAUCUGUUUAGAACCCUAAUUCUGCUGCGUACUAGAUGUGAAGUCAUGGACAAUUGCUUGGCCUCUCUAGGCCUGUCUCCUCCAUCUGUAGAAUGGGAGUGAGAGAGAGUAAUAAUUUCAACCUUAUAAUGUAAAAAUCAAUGAAAUAAAACAUGUACCACACUAGUACAGUUCUUACACAGAGAAAACGUGUGAUAUGCUAGCCAUUAAUGAGAUUGCUGCUGCUGAAGACAACAGCUGGUAAGAUUAGCCAGGAGCCUGCUCUUCAGACUUUCUCAUAUUAACUGAACUCUGAAAUCCUACACUUCAACUCUUGCAUCCUUUCUGUGCCUAGACCAGAAUUAGGUAGAUUCUCUUGAUGAACAUAUUUGAAAGGAGGUAAGUGAUGAGGGCUUUUUGGGUAUGAAAUUGGAACUGGGCUUUGAACUGAGGAUCCUAAGGGGAGGAACUGGAGGAGAGAAGUGGAAGUGGUGUGGGACAAGGCAGGUGUCUUUUCUGUGAGGAAAUGCCUGGGUCUAGUGGAUUAGUUAUGCCAAGCCCUGGCGGAUUGUCUAGAUCAUCUAGACUUAGCCACAUGUGGUUGAAGGCAUACACACACUUCUGUGAUUCUCUCUUGCCUUUCAAGGUAGUUGCAGUGAAAUAAUUCAGAAAAGUUGGCCUUUGUUCAUGAAUACUGUGGUUUGCUUAAAAUAUAUUCAGCUCUAGAGCUGUAAUAUCUACGUGUAGGUAUUGAGCAUUUGAAAUGUGGCUGUUGCUACGUUGUAAAACGAUAAUUUUUUAGAUAUGCGGUUAAAUAUUAAAACAAAACAUUAUCAAAACUAAUUUCACUUGUUUCUUUUAACUUUAAAAAAAUAAUGCUACAAGAAAAUUUAAAAUUGCAUGUGUGACUUGUACUGUAUUUCUGUUGCUCUAGAGAGUUAUACUUGAAGGAGUGGCUCCAGUCCUAAUUCAAGAACUCACUGCUGCAAUAGUCAGUUUGUUCCUUGUUAGGAUUCAGGCUACCUCAAAAUCAACUUCAUGAGCUGCUGGGCAAGGUCCAACUUUUUCAAUUGAGUGUACAGGGAAGAUAGUCUUUAGCAGUUACUGAUGGCCCAGUAUGUCUUAUAAAAAAA